UGAUAUGCAGGAAAUUAUGUAAAGUCUCUA
rnacentral:piRNA from 1 species